CCAAGUAUUGGAGCCUGACCUUCUGUGUCUGCUGCUCUUCUACUUGUCACCAUGAAGUUCCUGGCACUCCUGGUGUUGCUUGGUGUUUCCACUAUUCUAGUCUCUUGCCAGGACGCAGGGACAGACACUGCUGACACUUCUGAUACUGUACAGCAUUGCUUGCAUUGGUUAACACACUGAAAGAAAAAUUUACGUUGGGAUGAGUUUGUAUCUUCUACUUUUGAUCUUUCUGGACCAGAUUAGAACACCCUUGAUUUGAUUUCCUGCAAUUAUUUACCCUGACUAUUCUCUCUCCCUCCUCUCUAACUUUUAUCUUCUAUGAAAUAAACGAUAGUCACAAGCAGCAUCAAAA
rnacentral:lncRNA from 1 species